rfam:Camelus ferus unplaced genomic scaffold scaffold310, whole genome shotgun sequence.
GAAGGUAUAGCUCAGUGGUAGAGUGUGUGCUUAGCACGCACGAGGUCCUGGGUUCCAUCCCCGGUACCUCCA